rnacentral:rRNA from 1 species
GGCUGAACGCUGGCGGCGUGCUUAACACAUGCAAGUCGAACGAUGAAGCCCAGCUUGCUGGGUGGAUUAGUGGCGAACGGGUGAGUAACACGUGAGUAACCUGCCCUUGACUCUGGGAUAAGCCUGGGAAACUGGGUCUAAUACUGGAUAUGACUUCUCAUCGCAUGGUGGGGGGUGGAAAGAUUUAUUGGUCUUGGAUGGACUCGCGGCCUAUCAGCUUGUUGGUGAGGUAAUGGCUCACCAAGGCGACGACGGGUAGCCGGCCUGAGAGGGUGACCGGCCACACUGGGACUGAGACACGGCCCAGACUCCUACGGGAGGCAGCAGUGGGGAAUAUUGCACAAUGGGCGCAAGCCUGAUGCAGCGACGCCGCGUGAGGGAUGACGGCCUUCGGGUUGUAAACCUCUUUCAGUAGGGAAGAAGCGAGAGUGACGGUACCUGCAGAAGAAGCGCCGGCUAACUACGUG